rnacentral:rRNA from 1 species
UACGUAGGGUGCGAGCGUUAAUCGGAAUUACUGGGCGUAAAGCGUGCGCAGGCGGUCCGCAAAGUCUGAUGUGAAAGCCCCGGGCUCAACCUGGGUACUGCAUUGGAAACUAACGGGCUCGAGUGUGGCAGAGGGGGGUGGAAUUCCACGUGUAGCAGUGAAAUGCGUAGAGAUGUGGAGGAACACCGAUGGCGAAAGCGGCUUCCUGGUCCAGCACCGACGUUCAGGCACGAAAGCGUGGGGAGCAAACAGG